UCACGCCUCCCACGUCGCGCGCCACUGCCAGCAGCUCCGCCCUCUGCCAGAUCGCUCAGCGCACGGCAGCAGCACAGCCUUCACUUGGUCGCGCCACCACCGUGCCUGCUGCUCCGCUUCUCUCCACGCCGCCAGCCCCAUUUCCGGUUAAUCGCAUUCCGACAACACUAUAAAUUUGGAUCGCCCGGGUCCAUUUAGUGUUCCUCCAGGACAGAAUCAAAGCUAGAA